rnacentral:rRNA from 1 species
UACGUAGGGGGCAAGCGUUGUCCGGAUUUAUUGGGCGUAAAGAGCGUGUAGGCGGCCAAGCAGGUCCGCUGUGAAAACUCGAGGCUCAACCUCGAGACGUCGGUGGAAACCGUUUGGCUAGAGUCCGGAAGAGGAGAGUGGAAUUCCCGAUGUAGCGGUGAAAUGCGCAGAUAUCGGGAAGAACACCCGUGGCGAAGGCGGCUCUCUGGGACGGUACUGACGCUGAGACGCGAAAGCGUGGGGAGCGAACAGG